ensembl:lncRNA
AUAUAUUAAAAAGCAUACCUUAGCAGUGACAGUCUCUUUCUUAAUGCUUGUAAGUGAGAAGUUGGUGGUCUUUAGCUUUACUGUGAGCAGCCAUUCCAGGGGCAGGUACUUACGUGUAUACUUAAUAUUCAAUUUAGAACAAAGACAAUGAUUUAGAGUUCAGAGGGGGAUGCUUGUCUGUAUGGGAACUGUUGAAUCAUGGCCCGAACCUCUGAUUGAGCACCUGAGGCAAACACUGAGUCAGCCACGGGAGCACAGGUGAAGGCAAUUCAGCUGUGUGACCAGAAGGGGUGGAGCCAGACUCCACCUCUCCUAGACCCCAUUUAAGGGCUGACUGCCACUAAGGAAGGAUCUCUUCUUGGAGAUUGCUCCUCAUGGAGUUUUUGUGAGCCUAUGAUGUUGGUGAGCACCUUUCAUUUAUAUCUGAUUAUCUUUUCUAAUGCGGUAAUCUUACACCAGCCUAACUUCUCUGUGUACUGUAUAACAUCUGUGUACUUAUUAACCGUACAUUGUAGUAGUAAACCUAGGUGGUACUGUGUCAUGAUAUUGCAAAGUACAAUGAUAAUGUUUAUUAUCAUUCUCUACUAGCUAAUCAGGUUCAUUGCAAGUAAGCACAGUGUUAAGGGGCUAGUGGUAAUUGCUUACCUGUUUUUGCAUAGAGCCAGGAUUAGCCCUUUCUCUCCUUCCUUUACCUUAGCUGAACGUUACUGUACUGUAGCAGCACUUGCAGAAGUUCAUGUGUGCCCAUUUACAGCCCAGCUUGUUAGCUUCAGGUCACUGUAGGUACUGGCUUAAUUGAGCACAACACAACAAGCUGCAAAGGAGGAGAAUCUGGCACAUGCUCGUUUUGCCAGCUGUACUGCAAGAUAGUGACUUUCAGCACCGUGCACUGAUUGCUGUGUGCUGUGACCAGUUGGGAGCAGUAAUGGCUUAUUUUGAAACACUACUUAAAAAAAAAAGCAACACAAAAAAUGAAGUUUAUUACUAUAGUCAUACAAUAUGCAAUACAUACAUAUUGUAUACCUGUUUUAGAAAUUAAAUUGAUACCCAUCUGUCUAAUAAUUGAGAUAAGUCUGCUCUUUGUAUACACAGUAGUAUACAAGUUUGUUUCAGCUAAGGUACCUUGAAGUUUACCUGAUUUUGAGGAAUGUAUGGAUUUGUUUCAAGACUUUGGAGAGCAAGAUGUACUUCCAUGUAUUCCAUCAGUGGCUAUUGAAUUAGGAAAUCCAGAAUCUGAAUAAAACAUGAAAAAGAGUAUUGAUUGUGAAUGGAAGAUUGGGUGCUGUUUCCAGUAUUAAGCGUAGUGGGUGCUGAAAGCUGUUGGAAUUGGAGUUAACAUUCAUUAGAUUUCAUAAUGGAGGUGGCGUUCAAGAAAUGCAGUUGUUUUCCUUGCAGUUUGCAAGUUGGCAUGGGAAGAUUGGUUUUCCAAUUAAAUACUCUUUGUUGAAACCUGGCGUCUCUUAACCAUAUGUACAGAUCAUCCUUAUGAGUUCCAUCUGGGCUUGUAUUUCAAGGGUUUUAUUGCUAUUUAUGUCUUACACUUUUUGGUGAAGCAUGCUUUGACAAAUCAAUGCCCUUCUUAUUUCUAGUUUACACCACUACAAAACUAAAUUUACCGAAUAACAACCCUCAUGGAGGAUUGAUCUUUAACCUGUUGCUAUUUAUCUGUCCUUUUUAUUGAAAGCCCUUAGUGCUUUAUGAUCAAAAUGGCUUUUAAAUGAGAAAAUGGGAAAUUAUUGGAACGUGGAAAAUGCGCUUGAUAUUUUGAAACCAGAAGCAGUGCCAGAAGUGUUGAUCAUAUUCAGGGAUUCCAUGUGGGCUUUGAAAAUGUAUAUAUUCAUAUGCACGAUUAUAUAAAUAUGAGAAAUGUUUCUCAUUCAGACUUCAGCUGAAAUUUUGUCUUUUUUUUUGGGGGGGGGGGGGGGAAGGGUUGGUUCUUUUUUAAGAUAUCUGAGAACAAAAUAGUGCCUGUAUGUAGUGAAAACAAGCACCGUUUUCUAGAAUUAAUAUUUACUUAAGGAAAGUUGGAGGGGAGCCAAGCAGAUACUGGUGGGAUGACUAGAACUGUUUUGCUGCAGUUGAUGUGUAGUUAGGAAAGACUGCUCUUCCAUCUGGUAUGCCAUUGCUAAGAGAACACUGGCCCUGGAAGAAGUUGCCCAUGUACUAUUUUGGGGUAGAUUUCCCUGAAGGGCAUGCUUAGCAUAUCCAUACUGAAAUAGUAUGUCUAGUUCAGGAAGGAAGUGCUAGUUGGCAAGUAAGUGCAUCAUAGAAUCAUAGAACGGCCUGGGUUGAAAAGGAUUACAGUGAUCAUUGAGUUUCAACCCCCCUGCUAUGUGCAGGGUUACCAUCCACCAGACCAGGCUGCCCAGAGCCACAUCCAGCCUGGCCUUGAAUGCCUCCAGGGAUGGGGCAUCCACAGCCUCCUUGGGCAACCUGUUCCAGUGCUUCACCACCCUCUGAGUGAAAAUAUGUUUAUUGUGCUCUGCGUAUGGAUGAGCUCAAACAAACGUGAUCAGUGUUUUUUGAAUAUAGAAUUACGUAGCAAUUCCAGAAUGAGGUUUGAGUCAGAAGCAGGGCAUAUUUGCUUGCAGCAGGAUGCAUUUGCUAGCUAGUAGAUGCAGCUUGAGCGCUCAAGCAUCCACGUGCGUAUCUGAAAGAUUUUCAGCGUGACGUUUUUAGAAUAAAAGUACUGAUUUAUUUUCCUACCCUCACUUUUUGCCUCUUGACUUUGAAUGAGAACCUUAAGUCGUAGUCAUUUCUCAUGGUUUGUUGUGGAUUGAGGGUAAGAGGCGUCACAAAGCUAAAAAGUAGCCACAGAACAGAAGUUCAUUAAGCUUAAGAGCUGCCAUCCAGACCGUGCUUUGGAAAAACAUCAGCCAAGUUUUUGGCUUCCUUUCUGCCAGUCAUAGCCACAGACUGAUGUUGUGUGAGAAAGUAUUAAUAAAAAAAAAAAACAAACAACUUCAUGUUGUUUAUAACUGGCUGGGUAGUUCAGUGUUUUCAAUUUCCACUGUCGUCACUGGUAUAUUCUGCAAGCAGAUAAGUUGUUCAGAUUGUUACCUUUAAAUAUGAAGACUGUGUUUCAGUGAUGGCUGGAAAUAAGCUUUCUUUAGUAAUACAGGAUGCUUACCUAUACAUUAGUUAGCUAGUGUUUGAUGUUUUGGCCAGAAGAGUACGGAAGCUUUGUUUUCUCUCUUUGGGAAAUUUCACCAAACCAAAUCCAAAGAAGCUUGUGACCUUGUGUGCUAAGACUGGCUAGAUCCUGCUGCGAUCUAGAAGCAGAUCUAUUGCGUUACAGAGCGCAGCUUGUUCUAAUGUGUGCAUUUCUAACCAGAGCUUGUGGGGGAUUUGGAGCAAUAACUUCUGUCUGUUGACUCAAAUUUGUCUGAAAUAUAUCAUGUGUACAUUUACAGAAUGGAACUGUGUUCAUGACUAAUGUUACCAUAGUUGGUUCUGGUACAGUGCCUGUUUUUGCAUGUAUAGUAUUAGAAAAGUAAUCUGUGUCCAUUGGUGGCGGAACAGAGAAUGUGGUUGAAGGUUGAGAAGUACUCGUAUAGACUGCAGAGGUAUUUCAUUAAUUCUGAUUGUAUGCACCUGUCCUCUUCCUAAUAAAGGGUUGGUUUUUUUUGUAGCGGGUAUAAGAAGCUUUUAACUUAAUAUGGUGUUCACACUGCAGUCCUUUGUAAGC